GGGCCGUUAGCUCAGUCGGUAGAGCAGUUGACUUUUAAUCAAUUGGUCGAUGGUUCGAAUCCAUCACGGCCCA
rnacentral:tRNA from 1 species